GCCUAAUACAUGCAAGUCGAACGCGAAAGUCCUUCGGGAUGAGUAGAGUGGCGCACGGGUGAGUAACACGUGGAUAAUCUGCCUCGAAGCGGGGGAUAACUCCUCGAAAGAGGAGCUAAUACCGCAUAACAUAGAACUUACUACGGUAAGAGUUAUUAAAGGUGGCCUCUAUUUAUAAGCUAUCACUUCGAGAUGAGUCUGCGUACCAUUAGCUAGUUGGUGGGGUAAUGGCCUACCAAGGCUACGAUGGUUAACUGGUCUGAGAGGAUGAUCAGUCACACUGGAACUGAGACACGGUCCAGACUCCUACGGGAGGCAGCAGUAGGGAAUAUUGCUCAAUGGGGGAAACCCUGAAGCAGCAACGCCGCGUGAGUGAUGAAGGCCUUCGGGUCGUAAAGCUCUGUUGUACAAGAUGAAAUGCUAACAGCAAAUAGUUGUUAGAUUUGACAGUACUGUAUAAGAAAGGACCGGCUAACUUCGUGCCAGCAGCCGCGGUAAGACGGGGGGUCCAAGCGUUGUUCGGAAUCAUUGGGCGUAAAGCGUGUGCAGGUGGUUUGGUAAGUUGGAUGUGAAAGCCCCGAGCUUAACUUGGGAAGUGCAUCCAAAACUCCCAAACUUGAGUAUGGAAGAGGGUCGUGGAAUUCCUGGUGUAGUGGUGAAAUACGUAGAUAUCAGGAGGAACACCAGCGGCGAAGGCGGCGACCUGGUCCUAUACUGACACUCAUACACGAAAGCGUGGGUAGCAAACAGGAUUAGAUACCCUGGUAGUCCACGCCGUAAACGAUGGACACUUGGUGUUGAAGGUAUUGACCCCUUCAGUGCCGGAGCUAACGCAUUAAGUGUCCCGCCUGGGGAGUACGGUCGCAAGAUUAAAACUCAAAGAAAUUGACGGGGGCCCGCACAAGCGGUGGAGAAUGUGGUUCAAUUCGAUGCAACGCGAAAAACCUUACCUGGGUUUGGCAUCCCCUGAAUGCCGUAGAGAUACGGAGGGCUCGUAAGAGACAGGGAGACAGGUGCUGCAUGGCUGUCGUCAGCUCGUGUCGUGAGAUGUUGGGUUAAGUCCCGCAACGAGCGCAACCCUUAUCCUUAGUUGCCAGCAUUAAGUUGGGCACUCUAAGGAGACUGCCAACGUUAAGUUGGAGGAAGGUGGGGAUGACGUCAAGUCCUCAUGGCCUUUAUAUCCAGGGCAACACACGUUCUACAAUGGCCGGUACAAAGCGAUGCGAAACCGUGAGGUCAAGCCAACCGCAAAAAACCGGUCUAAGUUCGGAUUGGAGUCUGCAACUCGACUCCAUGAAGUUGGAAUCGCUAGUAAUCGCGGAUCAGCAUGCCGCGGUGAAUACGUUCCCGGGCCUUGCACACACCGCCCGUCAC
rnacentral:rRNA from 1 species